rnacentral:rRNA from 1 species
UUAAGGUUUCCGUAGGUGAACCUGCGGAAGGAUCAUUGUCGAAUCCUGCAAACAAAAACGACCGGCGAACUUGUUAAACUACGCGGGAUCGGGGCGUGGGGGGCAGCGAUGCCCUUCUCGUCUCGCUCCAAAGUCGGGGCGCAAGCCCCGCAAAGCGCCAAGGAAUACUGAAAACGAGGACCUUCCCUUCCCUGCCCCGUUCGCGGAGCGUGGGGAGGGGCAACGGCUUCCUUUCGAAUGAAAAACGACUCUCGGCAACGGAUAUCUCGGCUCUCGCAUCGAUGAAGGACGUAGCGAAAUGCGAUACUUGGUGUGAAUUGCAGAAUCCCGUGAACCAUCGAGUCUUUGAACGCAAGUUGCGCCCGAAGCCGUUAGGCCGAGGGCACGUCUGCCUGGGCGUCACGCAUCGCGUCGCCCCCCCACUCCGCGCCCUUUUGGGUAACGUCGGUUCGUGCGUGGGGGCGGACUGUGGCCUCCCGUGCCGUUCGGCGCGGUUGGCCGAAAUGCGAGUCCCGGGCGAGGGACGUCACGACGAGUGGUGGUUGGAUCUUUCAACUCUCGUGCUGUCGUGCCGUGUCCCGUCGCCCCUGAGGGACUGAAGGAGACCCUGACGCGCUUGUCUCGUCCGAACGAGAGGAGCCAUGCGCUACGACCGCGACCCCAGGUCAGGCGGGACUACCCGCUGAUUUUAAGCAUAAA